rnacentral:rRNA from 1 species
UGCAAGUCGAGCGAACAGAUAAGGAGCUUGCUCCUUUGAAGUUAGCGGCGGACGGGGAGUAACACGUGGGUAACCUACCUAUAAGACUGGAAUAACUUCGGGAAACCGGAGCUAAUGCCGGAUAACAUAUAGAACCGCAUGGUUCUAUAGUGAAAGAUGGUUUUGCUAUCACUUAUAGAUGGACCCGCGCCGUAUUAGCUAGUUGGUAAGGUAAUGGCUUACCAAGGCGACGAUACGUAGCCGACCUGAGAGGGUGAUCGGCCACACUGGAACUGAGACACGGUCCAGACUCCUACGGGAGGCAGCAGUAGGGAAUCUUCCGCAAUGGGCGAAAGCCUGACGGAGCAACGCCGCGUGAGUGAUGAAGGUUUUCGGAUCGUAAAACUCUGUUAUUAGGGAAGAACAAAUGCGUAAGUAACUGUGCGCAUCUUGACGGUACCUAAUCAGAAAGCCACGGCUAACUACGUGCCAGCAGCCGCGGUAAUACGUAGGUGGCAAGCGUUAUCCGGAAUUAUUGGGCGUAAAGCGCGCGUAGGCGGUUUCUUAAGUCUGAUGUGAAAGCCCACGGCUCAACCGUGGAGGGUCAUUGGAAACUGGGAAACUUGAGUGCAGAAGAGGAAAGUGGAAUUCCAUGUGUAGCGGUGAAAUGCGCAGAGAUAUGGAGGAACACCAGUGGCGAAGGCGACUUUCUGGUCUGUAACUGACGCUGAUGUGCGAAAGCGUGGGGAUCAAACAGGAUUAGAUA